UACGAAGGGGGGCGAGCGUUGUUCGGAUUUACUGGGCGUAAAGGGCGCGCAGGCGGCCACAUUUGUCAGGCGUGAAAGCCCCGGGCCUUAACCUGGGAACUGCGUUUGAUACGGUGUGGCUAGAGUUCGGGAGAGGAGCGUGGAAUUCCCAGUGUAGAGGUGAAAUUCGAUAGAUAUUCGCAAGAACACCAGUGGCGAAGGCGGCUCACUGGCCCGAUACUGACGCUGAGGCACGAAAGCGUGGGGAGCAAACAGGG
rnacentral:rRNA from 1 species